UACGUAGGGGGCAAGCGUUGUCCGGAAUCAUUGGGCGUAAAGCGCGCGUAGGCGGCCCGGUAAGUCCGCUCUGAAAGUCCAGGGCUCAACCCUGGAAAGCGGGUGGAUACUGCCGGGCUAGAAUCCGGAAGAGGCGAGUGGAAUUCCUGGUGUAGCGGUGGAAUGCGCAGAUAUCAGGAGGAACACCAAUAGCGAAGGCAGCUCGCUGGGACGUUACUGACACUGAGGCGCGAAAGCCAGGGGAGCAAACGGG
rnacentral:rRNA from 1 species